rnacentral:rRNA from 1 species
GAUUGAACGCUGGCGGUAUGCUUAACACAUGCAAGUCGAACGGAAACGAUACUAGCUUGCUAGUAGGCGUCGAGUGGCGGACGGGUGAGUAACGCGUAGGAAUCUGCCUGAUAGUGGGGGAUAGCCCGAAGAAAUUCGGAUUAAUACCGCAUAAUCUAUUCGUAGUAAAGUGGGGGACUUUCGAGCCUCACGCUAUCAGAUGAGCCUGCGUAAGAUUAGCUUGUUGGUAGGGUAAAAGCCUACCAAGGCGACGAUCUUUAGCUGGUCUGAGAGGAUGAUCAGCCACAUCGGGACUGAGACACGGCCCGAACUCCUACGGGAGGCAGCAGUGGGGAAUAUUGGACAAUGGGGGCAACCCUGAUCCAGCAAUACCGCGUGUGUGAAGAAGGCCUGAGGGUUGUAAAGCACUUUCAAUUGUGAAGAAAAGUUAGCGGUUAAUAACCGUUAGCCUUGACGUUAACUUUAGAAGAAGCACCGGCUAACUCCGUGCCAGCAGCCGCGGUAAUACGGAGGGUGCAAGCGUUAAUCGGAAUUACUGGGCGUAAAGCGUGCGUAGGCGGUUUAUUAAGUCAGAUGUGAAAGCCCCGGGCUUAACCUGGGAACUGCAUUUGAAACUGGUCAACUAGAGUAUGGUAGAGGAAAGUGGAAUUUCUGGUGUAGCGGUGAAAUGCGUAGAUAUCAGAAGGAACAUCAAUGGCGAAGGCAGCUUUCUGGACCAAUACUGACGCUGAGGUACGAAAGCGUGGGUAGCAAACAGGAUUAGAUACCCUGGUAGUCCACGCCGUAAACGAUGAUAACUAGCCGUUGGGGGGAUUUACCCUUUAGUGGCGAAGCUAACGCGUUAAGUUAUCCGCCUGGGGAGUACGGCCGCAAGGUUAAAACUCAAAGGAAUUGACGGGGACCCGCACAAGCGGUGGAGCAUGUGGUUUAAUUCGAUGCAACGCGAAGAACCUUACCUGGUCUUGACAUCCUGCGAACUUUCUAGAAAUAGAUUGGUGCCUUCGGGAACGCAGUGACAGGUGCUGCAUGGCUGUCGUCAGCUCGUGUCGUGAGAUGUUGGGUUAAGUCCCGUAACGAGCGCAACCCCUAUCCUUAUUUGCCAGCACAUCAUGGUGGGAACUAUAAGGAGACUGCCGGUGAUAAACCGGAGGAAGGCGGGGACGACGUCAAGUCAUCAUGGCCCUUACGACCAGGGCUACACACGUGCUACAAUGGGAAGGACAAAGAGCCGCGAAGCCGCGAGGUGUAGCUAAUCUCAUAAACCUUUUCGUAGUCCGGAUUGGAGUCUGCAACUCGACUCCAUGAAGUCGGAAUCGCUAGUAAUCGUAGAUCAGAAUGCUACGGUGAAUACGUUCCCGGGUCUUGCUACACACCGCCCGUCA